GAAGGGUAGAGCUCAGUGGUAGAGUGCAUGCUUAGCAUGCACGAGGUCCUGGGUUCAACCCCCUGAGCCUCCA
rnacentral:tRNA from 1 species